AGCCCCUUCGGGGAUAACCAAUAAAAUUGAAACUAUACAGAGAAGAAUUAGCAUGGGCUUUGCACAAGGAUGUUACACAGAGAUUGAGAAAUGGUCGAAAUCUUA
rfam:Solanum lycopersicum cultivar Heinz 1706 chromosome 12, whole genome shotgun sequence.